rnacentral:rRNA from 1 species
UACAGAGGGUGCAAGCGUUGUUCGGAAUUAUUGGGCGUAAAGGGCGCGUAGGCGGUUCGGCAAGUCUCUAGUGAAAUCUCUGGGCUCAACUCAGAGUCUGCUGGGGAAACUGCCGGGCUUGAGUGUGGGAGAGGAGAGUGGAAUUCCCGGUGUAGCGGUGAAAUGCGUAGAUAUCGGGAGGAGCACCUGUGGCGAAAGCGGCUCUCUGGACCACAACUGACGCUGAGGCGCGAAAGCUAGGGGAGCAAACAGG